rnacentral:rRNA from 1 species
GAUGAACGCUGGCGGCGUGCCUAAUACAUGCAAGUCGAGCGAAUGGAUUAAGAGCUUGCUCUUAUGAAGUUAGCGGCGGACGGGUGAGUAACACGUGGGUAACCUGCCCAUAAGACUGGGAUAACUCCGGGAAACCGGGGCUAAUACCGGAUAACAUUUUGAACCGCAUGGUUCGAAAUUGAAAGGCGGCUUCGGCUGUCACUUAUGGAUGGACCCGCGUCGCAUUAGCUAGUUGGUGAGGUAACGGCUCACCAUGGCAACGAUGCGUAGCCGACCGGAGAGGGUGAUCGGCCACACUGGGACUGAGACACGGCCCAGACUCCUACGGGAGGCAGCAGUAGGGAAUCUUCCGCAAUGGACGAAAGUCUGACGGAGCAACGCCGCGUGAGUGAUGAAGGCUUUCGGGUCGUAAAACUCUGUUGUUAGGGAAGAACAAGUGCUAGUUGAAUGGGCUGGCACCUUGACGGUACCUAACCAGAAAGCCAUGGCUAACUACGUGCCAGCAGCCGCAGUAA